AUUGAACGCUGGCGGCAGGCCUAACACAUGCAAGUCGAGCGGAUGAAGAGAGCCUGCUCUCUGAUUUAGCGGCGGACGGGUGAGUAAUGCCUAGGAAUCUGCCUGGUAGUGGGGGAUAACGUUCCGAAAGGAACGCUAAUACCGCGUACGUCCUACGGGAGAAAGCAGGGGACCUUCGGGCCUUGCGCUAUCAGAUGAGCCUAGGUCGGAUUAGAUAGUUGGUGGGGUAAUGGCUCACCAAGGCGACGAUCCGUAACUGGUCUGAGAGGAUGAUCAGUCACACUGGAACUGAGACACGGUCCAGACUCCUACGGGAGGCAGCAGUGGGGAAUAUUGGACAAUGGGCGAAAGCCUGAUCCAGCCAUGCCGCGUGUGUGAAGAAGGUCUUCGGAUUGUAAAGCACUUUAAGUUGGGAGGAAGGGCAUUAACCUAAUACGUUAGUGUUUUGACGUUACCGACAGAAUAAGCACCGGCUAACUUCGUGCCAGCAGCCGCCGUAAGAC
rnacentral:rRNA from 1 species